CGGAGCGCUCCGCAUGUGUCUGUCUCUUUUUAUAUUUCCCUAAGACAGCCAACCUCUUCACGCCCCCCUCUCUUCUUUAUUUCCCAUCUCUCCUCCUCUGCGCUCUGUCUUUUUUCUACCUUCCUCGAGGAAUUCUUUAUUUCUUUAUUUUAUCUUGUGUGGUGCGUGCGUUGGAUGAUGUGCCCCCUCCUCCCUCCUCCUCCUCUUUUCUCCUCCUCUCUCUUUGCCGCUUUCACAGCCUAGUUUUCUUUUUUUCUCAAUCUUGUGUGCAGGUUGUAUCUGACAGAGAGAGGACCACCGCCACGCUCCAGCCCCGCUCCAACCCACUGGUUCGUUAGUACCUGUGUCAGCAGUGAGUGAAUCACCCUGCUUUGGCCCGUCCGGCGUUACCUGUACAUGGAGACCCCCAGCUGGGCAGGAAACACAUUGUGUAAAUCAGGAAACAUUGCUGUCUUCGGGAACGUCGUGUACAGCGGGCUGCUCAACGAGCACCUCUGGCAUUUAGGAGUUCCCCUCUUCACAAGACUGGGUAACCAAGAGGCCACCAACCCCCAGAAGC